rnacentral:lncRNA from 1 species
CAAUGAUCUGAGCGUGCACUUCCUUUUUUCCUUUUCUUUGAUACACCACUUUGAGAUCCGGUUUCUAUUGUUGCUUCCCCGUCUUCGCCGAUAGGAAUAUCCUCUAACCCAUCAUCAUCCAUAUCAUCAUUCAUAUCAAUAGCGUCUUCCUCAACACGAUUACUAUUGCGAGAAGAUGCCAUAACAAUGUAGCAAACUACAAAAUAAGUAAACACACUCAUUUAGUCAUUUAGAAGAUAUAGUGCACAAAUGAAAUCACCAAUGUGUAUCAAUACAAACCCAAUAUGAAAGGAACCAAUCAAUGAAUCAAACAUUCAAACAUAACUAUGUAGUGGUUUCCAUGUUAAAGUAUUGAAUUGUAAACAUCAUAUUAAUCAAAUAUUCAAAUCUUCUUUCUCAAAGGAACCAAUCACCAAUGUGUAUUCAAAUAUAUAUGGAUAUUCUCACGCAUAUCAAUAUAUCAUCAUUUCAUUUUCUCAAUGCACAGUAUAUACUAUAUAUGUAUGUAAAAGUAAAACACAUAAUCCCAAGAUGGCAAUUGGCAAGAUAUGUAGUGGAUCCACAAUUAACUGAGGAGGGCCAUUUUUUUAUUGCAUUUAUACAACUUUAUUGUAAUCCAUUAGCAAGUUGCAUUUGAACCAAAUAUAACAAGAAUUCAUGGACUAUGAUGUAUACAAUUGCAACUGUGGGAGAGUUAGAAUUCUGUAUUCAUAUAAAAGCAUAUCACCACAGUGAAGAAAGUUGAAACAGAGGAAGAUUCAGAAGAAGAAGAAGAAGAAUCGUACCUGGGGAGUGGGGACGGCUGGCGGCGUCUGCU